AGACCAGAGGCUGAAUCUUUUCCAUAUUCAUGAGGGCAGCACUACUGCGAGGCUGGGUAGUGGGAAGUGACUCAGGGCUGGUGUAAAUCACUCAGCAGGAAGAUGAGACAACGGAGGAACUCUUCAUCCUCCAGGGAGCCUGGAAGGUUUCCCCUGUGAGUCCCCACCCACCAAGCUUCCCUUCCAUCUCCACCUCCCUCCUGCCUCUGGUGAGGACCCAAGGAGAAGACUGGGGGUUCUAGCUGUGUCUACUCAGAAAACUGAAGAAUGGGAAAGAGACAAGACUGAAGCAGAUGUGGAAGAUUGCAUGUGGAAAAAUAGCGCCUCAGGAAAAAAUGUCCUGGAAACACAUCUCCAGAUAAGCACUGCUGAGAAAAAUAUGGAAGUAAAUAAAGGAGCUCCUCUGUACUAAAGAGGUUGAAGAUGAACCGUCUCCUGU
rnacentral:lncRNA from 1 species